AGAUGCUUACUUAUGUUCUGAAAACUGUGGCUUUUCAAAAGCUAAGUGAUACCUGUGGUUGCCAGGAAAAUGAGAUGGCCUGUUCACCAGACUGGAAUUAAGUUUUGAAUAGUCUUUUCAGCUGUAGAGUGACCGUCCCAUAAAUCCUCAUGAUACAGCUGGGGACACAAGUUCCCAACCUGACAGGCGUGGGAUGGUUGCUUCUAAAUGCAGUAUUUUUUUAGAGGAGGAGGUAGGGAUGUCCUUGCCAACUUAAAAGGAAGGAUGGUUUCCUGACUUCAGUGUUAUUCUGUAUCACCAAAGCUAAUACUGAUGGUGUGGGUAAGUUCAGACGACUCUUGAUAGCAGUAAAUACUAAGAUACUACUGAUUAUAAGGUAGAUCAUUAAUUUACUAAUAUUUGUUUUCCAGGAAAAAAGAAAUCAUCACAUUCAAUGCUCACAUUGAUAAUAAUAUAUAUCUUGAUUUCAGGAAUACUAAAUGUGGAAUAAAAUACAUAUCAGAAUCAAGGAAAUGCAAUGUGUCUCUCACUGACAGACUGCAAAUUUUGGGGAUGAGCUAAUUUCUGGAAAGUAAGAUGGACCCAUCUAGAGGAGCGCUCUGGCCUUAGAAGUUGUUUAACAUAAAAUACAAUUGCAGGAAGAAGGGCUAGGCGCUUUUAUGGAUGAGAAAGGACAGAGGAGCACUGACUCCGGUGCAUGAGUGCCACCUCACAGGAGCCUGCUCGUCGGCAGCAGGUCACACACAGACAUUCACAGGGGUUGAUGUUGGAAUGCUUUUCUCAGGACUGGCUUCCUGCCAUCUUCCUCCACUUCAAUCUCACAGAUAGCCUCCACGAGGAGACUGCCAAGCUUAGAAGAAAGAACAGUGAGCGGGAAGUUAGAACAGCAAGUUCCCUGCCCAGACGCUGUGCUGGAUGGCCUUAGGCUCAGCCUUAACUCUUACAGUGCUAUCUAUCGAUCUUGGCUAUAUUAAUAGUAUUUAGCCCCUCUCUAUGUCCCAGAUACUGAGGACAAAGAGAUCAUAUCUGGGUGAGCAAUUACCUAAAGACAAAGUCGAUUCUUCUCUUUCUGUGCCACGGGAGAUGAUAAGGUAGGUCUAGAGAAACCACCACGCUACUAUGACAUGAGAAAUUUCAAUAAUGGGUAGUUGGCCACCAAUGCAAACCAUCACUGCCAAAAUCAAGGGUCUAAAACACGUUGUAGCCAUUCUAUGCCAAAAACAAGACAAAGAAAUGGCAUCAGGAGCAGUGGACUUGGCAUCCUGAGUGCUCACGUGGUUCUGGUUCGGUCUUUAAUGAGUCAGGUUACCUUGGACAAGUCUCCUGGCCUCUCUAGGUCUUGAAGGGUGGUUUUAAAUGCUCUCUGGGGCCCCUUUCUGUUCCUGUAACCUGACUUACUCUACUCCUGCAGGCCAGCAGGUGGCAGUGACUACUAGACUAGGAAGCUGGCCUGUCCCUGGUUUCCUGUCAUAGCACUAACAAACCUCAAAAAGUAAACACAAUCAUGACGUGACACUGUAAGACAAUUCACAAAGCGAGCGGCAGCAUUCCAAACAAACAUGGUGGCAUAUUUAACAAAGACUAAAAGCUAAGGUUGAAGACAUUACUUCUGGUAAGUCUCAACAUCCAAGUCUCCCACCAGCUUCAGAUUCUUUCAAAAACGAAACAUCAGGCACUUGCUCAGAAAUCCUGUUGAGGGACCACCCCAAACAUUAAUGGGCAAGUUGUUUUCCACAGGAAGGACCUAAUGACCCUUUGACAGCUGGGUCUUAAUAAAAGAGAAGGGCCUCUGUUGACUCAGAGUCUAUAUUGCUUGUUACAUUUAACUAGCGGGUUGAUCUGAAGCUUUGUUUUAGGACUAAUAAAAGAAUGUCUUUCAAGUCAACUGCUGCAACUCACACAUCAGUUCCACUAGCGUUAUUUUCACCUCUUUCAUGGAAAUUAAUUUAUAAUCCAACCCCACAAUGUUGCUCCUACAAAUUAAAACAAAACAAAACAAAACAAAAACUCCUUAGAACAACCUAUGUCAUGUAUGCUCAGAAAAGUCCUCAAGCAUGUUAAGCUUUGAACGCAUUCUACAGCAUUACUGUGAAGGUUCCUUGGCAAAGGAACUUUAAAAUGGAAAAAAAAAAAACCACCUUUAAAUCCACUUGAAGGUAAUGAAUGAAAGCUGGCGGCUGUCUCGGUAAUUAAGAGCCACUUAUGGGGUAGAGAAGAAAUGCUAUAAACUAAUGAUGUCUACCUUGCUCUAAUUAUCUAUUUCAACAGCCUCACCUUCACGAACUUCCUAAAUUUAAACAAACAUCAACCACA